rnacentral:rRNA from 1 species
CGACUUGGAGGUUGUGCCCUUGAGGCGUGGCUUCCGGAGCUAACGCGUUAAGUCGACCGCCUGGGGAGUACGGCCGCAAGGUUAAAACUCAAAUGAAUUGACGGGGGCCCGCACAAGCGGUGGAGCAUGUGGUUUAAUUCGAUGCAACGCGAAGAACCUUACCUACUCUUGACAUCCAGAGAACUUAGCAGAGAUGCUUUGGUGCCUUCGGGAACUCUGAGACAGGUGCUGCAUGGCUGUCGUCAGCUCGUGUUGUGAAAUGUUGGGUUAAGUCCCGCAACGAGCGCAACCCUUAUCCUUUGUUGCCAGCGGUUAGGCCGGGAACUCAAAGGAGACUGCCAGUGAUAAACUGGAGGAAGGUGGGGAUGACGUCAAGUCAUCAUGGCCCUUACGAGUAGGGCUACACACGUGCUACAAUGGCAUAUACAAAGAGAAGCGACCUCGCGAGAGCAAGCGGACCUCAUAAAGUAUGUCGUAGUCCGGAUUGGAGUCUGCAACUCGACUCCAUGAAGUCGGAAUCGCUAGUAAUCGUGGAUCAGAAUGCCACGGUGAAUACGUUCCCGGGCCUUGUACACACCGCCCGUCACACCAUGGGAGUGGGUUGCAAAAGAAGUAGGUAGCUUAACCUUCGGGAGGGCGCUUACCACUUUGUGAUUCAUGACUGGGGUGAAGUCGUAACAAGGUAACCGUAGGGGAACCUGC